CCCUUAGAUGCUCUGGGCCGCACGCGCGCUACACUGAUGAACGCAACGAGACGACCUGUACCGAAAGGCAUGGGUAAACUUGUGAAAGUUCAUCGUGAUGGGGAUAGAUUAUUGCAAUUAUUAAUCUUCAACGAGGAAUUCCUAGUAAGCGCGAGUCAUCAGCUCGCGUUGAUUACGUCCCUGCCCUUUGUACACACCGCCCGUCGCUCCUACCGAUUGAAUGGUCCGGUGAAAUCUUCGGAUUGCUGGAUAGGAGGGCAACCACCUAUCUGCGAGAAGUUGCUUGAACCUUAUCAUUUAGAGGAAGGAGAAGUCGUAACA
rnacentral:rRNA from 1 species